CCUCCCUCACCCCUCUUCUCUUCUUUUUCAGCAUAACGUGAGAAGAGAGAGAGAGAGAGAGAGAGAGAGAGCACGCCCAAACAUGACGGAACCUCACCAUUGCCGGAACAUCAACAGCGGGAUCCCUUCACAUCACACCAGAGCAUCAGAGGGGCGCACGAAAUUUCAGAGAAAGUUUAAUCAAGACCGAAAACUGAAGCGCUAGAACAUGAGCCCCAAGGUUCACAGUGAAUGAACAAUAUACGCCCCAUCGCCAGACCGACUGACCAUCAAUUUUCGCCUCCAACGUCAGCCGAUUAACACCCAUACGCCCAUACCAAAUCAACGGCCAACAUCCCACGUCCCAGUCGGCCUCCACCUCGACUCGCCGCUGGAAAAGCAAAUCUACUCCCGACGGCUAUCGUUGCUCCGGCCAGUCAUCGCAUUCGAUGGAGAAGACAUGAUUCGCACGAAGAAAAGACACAUCAAGCAACGAAUCAAAAGAAGAAACUAUAAGCCGCGUCUAAGGACCAACAAACGCCCGGAAUCAAGCCCAAAUCAGAGGAGGCAUGAGCGAAAUCUGGUUCGAGCAUUUCUUCAAACACAUGGCGAGCAGCGAGUUGGGCAGCAAAUAUUGACCUGUUGGGAGCUCGAGCGCACGCCCAAACUCAAAAGUAAUCAACGAGCAACGUUCGGAAUCAACAAAAUAACAACUCAUUCAGGUCCAGCACGAGCAAGAACUAAGGAAAUCG
rnacentral:lncRNA from 1 species